AUUGAACGCUGGCGGCAGGCCUAACACAUGCAAGUCGAACGAGUGGCGGACGGGUGAGUAAUGUCUGGGAAACUGCCUGAUGGAGGGGGAUAACUACUGGAAACGGUAGCUAAUACCGCAUACCAUCAGAUGUGCCCAGAUGGGAGUAGCUAGUUGGUGGGGUAACGGCUCACCAAGGCGACGAUCCCUAGCUGGUCUGAGAGGCUGACCGGCCACGCUGGACCUGAAACACGGACCAGAAUACAACGGGAGGCAGCAGUGGGGAAUAUUGCGCAAUGAGCGCAAGCCUAAUGCAGCCGUGCCGCGUGUAUGAGGAAGGCCUUCGGGUUGUAAAGUACUUUCAGCGGAGAGGCGUUACCCGCAGAAGAAGCACCGGCUAACUCCGUGCCAACAGCCGCGGUAAUUC
rnacentral:rRNA from 1 species